CGGUUACAAUUGGCGCAAAAUCAUCAUUAACGUGGCUAUUAUGCGAUUAGAGACCGCCCGUGUGAGUUGACUACGGGUCAGUCGUCCCCCA
ensembl:ncRNA M03A1.11 ncRNA